CCUACGGGGGGCUGCAGUGAGGAAUAUUGGACAAUGGGGGGAACCCUGAUCCAGCCAUGCCGCGUGUGUGAAGAAGGCCCUCGGGUUGUAAAGCACUUUCAGUGAGGAAGAACGCCUGGUGGUUAAUACCCAUCAGGAAAGACAUCACUCACAGAAGAAGCACCGGCUAACUCCGUGCCAGCAGCCGCGGUAAUACGGAGGGUGCGAGCGUUAAUCGGAAUUACUGGGCGUAAAGCGCGCGUAGGUGGCUUGAUAAGCCGGUUGUGAAAGCCCCGGGCUCAACCUGGGAACGGCAUCCGGAACUGUCAAGCUAGAGUGCAGGAGAGGAAGGUAGAAUUCCCGGUGUAGCGGUGAAAUGCGUAGAGAUCGGGAGGAAUACCAGUGGCGAAGGCGGCCUUCUGGACUGACACUGACACUGAGGUGCGAAAGCGUGGGUAGCAAACAGGAUUAGAUACCCUAGUAGUC
rnacentral:rRNA from 1 species